rnacentral:tRNA from 1 species
UAAUAAGAAGCAAAAUUUGCAUUUAGUUUCGACCUAAAAAUUUGAUAUAAAUUAUAUCCUUAUUUU